rnacentral:rRNA from 1 species
UACGGAGGAUGCAAGCGUUAUCCGGAAUGAUUGGGCGUAAAGCGUCCGCAGGUGGCGAUGUAAGUCUGCUGUUAAAGAGUCUAGCUCAACUAGAUAAGAGCAGUGGAAACUACAUAGCUAGAGUACGUUCGGGGCAGAGGGAAUUCCUGGUGUAGCGGUGAAAUGCGUAGAGAUCAGGAAGAACACCAGUGGCGAAGGCGCUCUGCUAGGCCGUAACUGACACUGAGGGACGAAAGCUAGGGGAGCAAACAGG